AAAGAAACCAACAGGGAUUGCCUCAGUAACGGCGAGUGAAGCGGCAAGAGCUCAAAUUUGAAAGCUGGCCCCCUCGGGGUCCGCGUUGUAAUUUGCAGAGGAUGCUUCGGGUGCAGCCCCCGUCUAAGUGCCCUGGAACGGGCCGUCAUAGAGGGUGAGAAUCCCGUCUGGGACGGGGUGUCUGCGUCCGUGUGAAGCUCCUUCGACGAGUCGAGUUGUUUGGGAAUGCAGCUCUAAAUGGGUGGUAAAUUUCAUCUAAAGCUAAAUACUGGCCGGAGACCGAUAGCGCACAAGUAGAGUGAUCGAAAGAUGAAAAGCACUUUGAAAAGAGAGUUAAACAGCACGUGAAAUUGUUGAAAGGGAAGCGUUUGCGACCAGACUCGCCCGCGGGGUUCAGCCGGCACUCGUGCCGGUGUACUUCCCCGUGGGCGGGCCAGCGUCGGUUUGGGCGGCCGGUCAAAGGCCCUCGGAAUGUAUCACCUCUCGGGGUGUCUUAUAGCCGAGGGUGCAAUGCGGCCUGCCCGGACCGAGGAACGCGCUUCGGCUCGGACGCUGGCGUAAUGGUCGUAAAUGAC
rnacentral:rRNA from 1 species